UUGGAACUCAUUGAGUACUGUCAGGCCCUCAAUUCAGACCAACUGUACUUGGAACGAGUGGCUUAAAGGCAACAUCCAGAGCUUUCCAAAAAAAUCACAAAAUCUCUAUGUACUUAGUUUUCUAUUUUUUUUUUCUUUGGGAAAUCUGGUUUUUGAGGAACUCUCUUAUCUUGAGUCUCAUAACUGUCAUGUUAGCCUGGAGAAAAGGAUCAUCAACAAAGUCGGGGAAUUUUUUGCCCUUACUGGUCGUCUCCGUCGCUACCCUAUCCCAGAUCUACAUCCUGUUUCUUAUCACCUGCUCCAGGCGUUAUAAAAAUCAAUAUAGACGGUUCUUCUAGUGAAAAUUCAAGUUAAGAACGAGUCUGUCCAGUCUUGAGAAAUCAUAGGGGCAAAUGGAUUCGAGGCCCCUUCAAACACAUUCUGAUGGUCACUAUCUCUUGCGUUUGAGCUUAAUAUUUCUCAUAUCAAAAUUGAAAGCGAUGUUGAAAUUGCCAUUAAGUCGAUUACUAAUGAUAAAAUCUCUAAUCAUGCUCUCUCUACUCUUGUUAUUGAUUGCAGGUUGUUUAUGUGUAGAUUUGUCUCAACCUCUAUCAAGCAUACCUAUAGGGAGGGGAACCAAUGUAUGGAUUGGUUAGUUCGGUUAGGGAGCAACUUUCAACAAGACAAUCUUAGAACUUCUUGUAAUAGGAAUAUUUUGUGUUUUUGUUUGAAACCCCAUCUUGUAUUGAGGCUCUGUUGAAACCUGAUGCGUACAUCACUGUUAUGUACGGAAUUUAUUUUAAUUAAUCUAAAAGUUGUCUUUUGAUAAUAAAAAAAGAAAUAUU
rnacentral:lncRNA from 1 species